AUGAAUUUUCAAAGGAAUUUUAUUAUAUUUUUAGUGAUUUUGUUUACGUUCAGCAUUACAGGAUCUGAAUGCAGCAAGGAACUAAAUAAAUGGUUCAAUAAGACAAACACUUACACACAGCUUAGCAUGACAGAUUUACGUCAUGGAGUCUCCAACAUUGUUGAUGAGGCCAGUGGUGUCUUCAGCAAAAUUAUUAGCAAAAUGAUAGCACACAAAAAACUUAUAGGCCUGGACUCUAAUUGGAAUUGGUGAUUGAUUUGUAAAAUAAAUUAUUUCUGAAGAAUUUUUCUUUUAUUGGGUACUACUCUGACACUUAAACCUAAACAUAGGUGCAGUCAUUUUCAA